AUUGAACGCUGGCGGCAGGCUUAACACAUGCAAGUCGAGCGAGCGGCGGACGGGUGAGUAAUGUCUGGGAAACUGCCUGAUGGAGGGGGAUAACUACUGGAAACGGUAGCUAAUACCGCAUACCAUCAGAUGUGCCCAGAUGGGAUUAGCUAGUAGGUGGGGUAAGGGCUCACCUAGGCGACGCUCCCUAGCGGGUCUGAGAGGAUGACCGGCAACACUGGAACUGUGAAACGGUCCAGCUUCCUACGGGAGGAAGCAGUGGGGAAUAUCGCAAAAUGGGCGAAAGCCUGAUGCAGCCAGGCCGCGUGUGUGAAGAAGGCCUUCGGGUUGUAAAGCACUUUCAGCGAGGAGGCGUUACUCGCAGAAGAAGCACCGGCUAACUCCGUGCCAGCAGCCGCGGUAAUAC
rnacentral:rRNA from 1 species